rnacentral:piRNA from 1 species
UGGUGACGUUCUGCAGGUUGCUGUUGAGC